rnacentral:misc_RNA from 1 species
CGCACAUUGCGCCCUCUGGUAUUCCGGGGGGCAUGCCUGUUCGAGCGUCAUUAUCACCCCUCAAGCUUAGCUUGGUAUUGGGUACUCGUCCUCGCCCCCGGGUGAGGGCGUACCUGAAAAUUAGCGGCGGUGCAGCCGGACUCUCUAGCGCAGUGACUUUUUACAACGCUACAUAGAGCCCCGGUUGACUCUUGCCGGACAACCACCAAAUUUUAUCAUGAUUGACCUCGGAUCAGGUAGGGAUACCCGCUGAACUUAA